GACGAACGCUGGCGGCGUGCUUAACACAUGCAAGUCGAACGGAAAGGCCCUGCUUGCAGGGUAUUCGAGUGGCGAACGGGUGAGUAACACGUGGGUGAUCUGCCCUGCACUUCGGGAUAAGCCUGGGAAACUGGGUCUAAUACCGGAUAGGAGCCAUUUUUAGUGUGAUGGUUGGAAAGUUUUUUCGGUGUAGGAUGAGCUCGCGGCCUAUCAGCUUGUUGGUGGGGUAAUGGCCUACCAAGGCGGCGACGGGUAGCCGGCCUGAGAGGGUGGACGGCCACAUUGGGACUGAGAUACGGCCCAGACGCCUACGGGAGGCAGCAGUGGAGAAUAUUGCACAAUGGGCGCAAGCCUGAUGCAGCGACGCCGCGUGGGGGAUGACGGCCUUCGGGUUGUAAACUACUUUCGCUAGGGACGAAGCUUUUUGUGACGGUACCUAGAUAAGAAGCACCGGCUAACUACGU
rnacentral:rRNA from 1 species